rnacentral:lncRNA from 1 species
AAAAAAAAACAGCGACAGCACCGACACAGAUUCAGUUAAUUGGGCUUAUGGUAUUAGAGACAAGGGCUGAGGGGGGAAUGAAUAUAAGAGAUAAGAAAAGUUUCAAAACUCAUUUUGAGGAAUAGCUUUUUUAUGCUGCCCUUGAAGAACUUCUGACUAAUGCCAAUCAUGACUAUAACUUUAGGCAAAAUUCAUUUAAUCUUUCUGAGCAAUAGUUUUCUCAUCAGUAAAGAAGUAGAAUAUAUUAUGUCACUCGUCACCAUAAGAUCCUAUGUCAUCUAUGAGUUUCAGGCUUUCUUUCCACUGCUGCUACUCACUAUCUGUAUAACAAGAUAGCCACGUUGUGACUUGCAGGCUCCAGAAAUGAAAAGGUCACCAUAAUCCCCACAUUAAACAUGAUGACUGAAUUAUUUUCUCCCUAUAGGUCAAAAGGAGCAUCUCGGAAUCCUCAAGAAACAAGAAGAAAACACACUUGGAUUUUCAAAUAUCUCGAUAUUUUAACUGUGUUUUUUAAAAAAGGAUAAACAGCUCUUUUAAUCAGAAAAAGUUCAGGCAUUAUAGUAUAAAUGAAAGAAUCUCAGUCAAAAAAGCUCAACAUUUGACUAUCUGGACAGCAAUAGAGCAUGCACUCAAAGUGAAAAGAAAAUGACAUGAUGCUUAAACAAUGUUUUAAAGUCCCCCCUGCCACCCAUUUUAGGGGGAGGGGGCAUGGGGAGGAGCUUGGAUGAUGAAAGUAAGAGCAUCCCAAGGGUGGAUGAAGACAUUAAAAGGCCCUCCAGACUAAGACUCCACCAUGAGCACCUUUCACCUUGCACUUCCCCGACCCUGCUUCCCUUGUCCAGGACUACCAACAGGAUGCUGGACCAGGCUGAGCUGGACAGCCAUAGCCAGGUAGCCAGUUGGAUCCCUCUCCAGUGAUAACAAAGGUCUGGAGUCUCAGAGGGCUUUUCCUAGGACAAGACGUACCUCCAGAUCAAGAAAUUAUUUCAGCUGUGGCAUGAUCAACAAGUUCUGGAGCGGAAGGAAACCUUUCUAAACCACAAAUAACAAAAAACAUCUAUCUAUUAUGUCAGAAGACAAAGUUGUCUUUCUAUUCUCUGUACAUAAAAUGGCAUUGUAAAAUUUUUACCAUGUGAAAAAAGAUCAAUGAGUAUAACGCCAAAAAUAUAGGGAAAAGAUGUAUUACAUAGAUGGGUCAGCACUUAAGUUGUAAUUGUAGCAAAAAUUGUUAAUUAAAAC